rnacentral:rRNA from 1 species
AGUGAGGAAUCUUCCACAAUGGACGAAAGUCUGAUGGAGCGACACCGCGUGAAGGAUGAAGGCCUAACGGUUGUAAACUUCUUUUCUGAAGGAGCAUAAUGAGAGUACUUCAGGAAUAAGGGACGGCUAAAUACGUGCCAGCAGCCGCGGUAAUACGUAUGUCUCGAGCGUUACCCGGAAUCACUGGGUGUAAAGGGUUCGUAGGUGGUUUAGAAAGUUGGAUAUUAAAGACCGGAGCUCAACUCCGUGUUUGUCUUCAAAACUCCUAAACUAGAAUCAGGGAGAGGUAAGUGGAAUUCUGUGUGUAGGGGUGCAAUCCGUAGAUACACAGAGGAACACCAAAAGCGAAGGCAACUUACUGGAACUGUAUUGACACUGAGGAACGAAAGCGUGGGUAGCGAAAAGGAUUAGAUACCCUUGUAGUCCACGCCCUAAACGAUGAUAACUAAGUGUUGCGACUAGCUCGCAGUGCUGAAGCUAACGCGAUAAGUUAUCCACCUGAGGAGUACGGUCGCAAGAUUAAAACUCAAAGGAAUAGACGGGGACCCACACAAGCAGUGGAUCACGUGGUUUAAUUCGACAAUAAACGGGGAACCUUACCCAGACUUGACAUCUACCGAAUCUUUCAGAAAUGAGAGAGUGCUUUUAUUAGAGCGGUAUGACAGGUGCUGCAUGGUUGUCGUCAGCUCGUGCCUUGAGGUGUUCGGUUAAGUCCGUUAACGAGCGCAACCCAUGUCGUUAGUUAUUAUGUCUAACGAGACUGCCUUGGAUAACAAGGAGGAAGGUGUGGAUGACGUCAAAUCAGCAUGGCUUUUACGUCUGGGGCUACACACAUGAUACAAUGGUACGUACAAAGAGCAGCAAUACGGCGACGUUGAGCUAAUCUUAAAAGCGUAUCUUAGUCCGGAUUGGAGUCUGAAACUCGACUCCAUGAAGUUGGAAUUGCUAGUAAUCGUGAAUCAGAUAUGUCACGGUGAAUAUGU